rnacentral:rRNA from 1 species
AGUUGAUCCUGGCUCAGGAUGAACGCUGGCGGUAUGCUUAACACAUGCAAGUCGAACGGUCUCUUCGGAGAUAGUGGCGGACGGGUGAGUAACGCGUGAGAAUCUAGCUUCAGGUUCGGGACAACCACUGGAAACGGUGGCUAAUACCGAAUGUGCCGAGAGGUGAAAGGCUUGCUGCCUGAAGAUGAGCUCGCGUCUGAUUAGCUAGUUGGUGGGGUAAAAGCCUACCAAGGCGACGAUCAGUAGCUGGUCUGAGAGGAUGAUCAGCCACACUGGGACUGAGACACGGCCCAGACUCCUACGGGAGGCAGCAGUGGGGAAUUUUCCGCAAUGGGCGAAAGCCUGACGGAGCAAUACCGCGUGAGGGAGGAAGGCUCUUGGGUCGUAAACCUCUUUUCUCAGGGAAGAAAAAAAUGACGGUACCUGAGGAAUAAGCAUCGGCUAACUCCGUGCCAGCAGCCGCGGUAAUACGGAGGAUGCAAGCGUUAUCCGGAAUGAUUGGGCGUAAAGCGUCCGCAGGUGGCGAUGUAAGUCUGCUGUUAAAGAGUGAGGCUCAACCUCAUAAAAGCAGUGGAAACUACAUGGCUAGAGUGCGUUCGGGGCAGAGGGAAUUCCUGGUGUAGCGGUGAAAUGCGUAGAGAUCAGGAAGAACACCGGUGGCGAAAGCGCUCUGCUAGGCCGCAACUGACACUGAGGGACGAAAGCUAGGGGAGCGAAUGGGAUUAGAUACCCCAGUAGUCCUAGCCGUAAACGAUGGAUACUAGGYGUGGCUUGUAUCGACCCGAGCCGUGCCGUAGCUAACGCGUUAAGUAUCCCGCCUGGGGAGUACGCACGCAAGUGUGAAACUCAAAGGAAUUGACGGGGGCCCGCACAAGCGGUGGAGUAUGUGGUUUAAUUCGAUGCAACGCGAAGAACCUUACCAAGACUUGACAUGUCGCGAAUCCCGGUGAAAGCUGGGAGUGCCUUCGGGAGCGCGAACACAGGUGGUGCAUGGCUGUCGUCAGCUCGUGUCGUGAGAUGUUGGGUUAAGUCCCGCAACGAGCGCAACCCUCGUUUUUAGUUGCCAGCAUUAAGUUGGGCACUCUAGAGAGACUGCCGGUGACAAACCGGAGGAAGGUGGGGAUGACGUCAAGUCAGCAUGCCCCUUACGUCUUGGGCUACACACGUACUACAAUGCUACGGACAAAGGGCAGCUACACAGCGAUGUGAUGCAAAUCCAAGAAACCGUAGCUCAGUUCAGAUCGCAGGCUGCAACUCGCCUGCGUGAAGGAGGAAUCGCUAGUAAUUGCAGGUCAGCAUACUGCAGUGAAUUCGUUCCCGGGCCUUGUACACACCGCCCGUCACACCAUGGAAGCUGGUCACGCCCGAAGUCAUUACCCCAACCUUUCGAGGAGGGGGAUGCCUAAGGCAGGACUGGUGACUGGGGUGAAGUCGUAACAAGGUAGCCGUACCGGAAGGUGUGGCUGGAUCACCUCCU